GGUCCGGUGGCCGAUCGGUUAGGCAAAGGUCUGCAAAACCUUUUAAAGCGGUUCAACUCCGCUCCGGACCU
rfam:Candidatus Moranbacteria bacterium RIFCSPLOWO2_12_FTLL_48_12 rifcsplowo2_12_scaffold_2620, whole genome shotgun sequence.